rnacentral:rRNA from 1 species
CACGAAGCAAGUCGAGCUAAUUAUAUGUAAAUAUUAGUUUAUUGAAUGUAGCAUAAUUUAAAUAAACAGAUAAUUAGGGGUGAUAGGCUUUUCAAGUCUUGCGAUAACUUGAUGUUUAUUAAAAGUAUUUAGUACUAUGACAACUAAGAAGCGAUUAGGUUUUUUAGUAAUAUAAAGAAUUAUGAUUUUUAAAACUAUGUUGUAAUUAUCAGAUUGUUUUAAACAUAACAUAAAUUUAUUCAAUUUAUAAUAAAUAAUAAACUAUUUAAUAAUAAUAAAAAUAAUAGAUAAUGUUAUUAUAAGUAAUUAUUCAAAUACUAAGGAUGAACUCGGCAAUAAUUUUCCAGACUGUUUAUCAAAAACAUAGCCAGUAGAUAAUAGCUUAUUGGUAGUUUCUGCUCAAUGAAUUUUAAAUAGCCGCAGUACCCUGACUGUGCUAAGGUAGCAUAAUCAUUUGGCUCAUAAUUGGAGUCUAGUAUAAAGGAAAGAACGUGGGAAGAACUAUAUUUAGAGUAUAUAAUAAAAUUACUUAAUAAGUGAAAAUACUUAUAGAAAAAUAAUAGACGAGAAGACCCUAGAAAUUUUAAGAAAAUUUUAAGAUAAAUGUUUUUGUUGGGGCAACAUUGUAACAGUUAACUUACAUAUAAUCAAGCAAUUUUUGAAAGAAAAAAUUACUCUAGGGAUAACAGCGUAAUGUUAAAACGUUUGCGACCUCGAUGUUGGAUUAGGAAUUAAAAGCUUAGAA